UUUUCCGGUUGAUCCUGCCGGACCUGACUGCUAUCGGAUUGGUACUAAGCCAUGCGAGUCGUUGUACAAUACAAGGCGGACUGCUCAGUAACACGUAGUUAACUUAACCUAUGGAUGGGCAUAACCUCGGGAAACUGAGAAUAAUACCCAAUGGACCACAGUGCCUGGAAUGGCCUGUGGUUGAAAUGAUUUAUCGCCGUAGGAUAGGACUGCGGCCUAUCAGCUUGUUGGUGAGGUAAUGGCCCACCAAGGCUAUAACAGGUACGGGCUCUGAGAGGAGGGGCCCGGAGAUGGGUACUGAGACACGGACCCAGGCCCUAUGGGGCGCAGCAGGCGAGAAACCUUUGCAAUGUGCGAAAGCACGACAAGGUUAAUCCGAGUGUCUCCUGCUAAAGGAGUCUUUUGUCAGUUGUAGAAUCACUGGUGAAUAAGGGGUGGGCAAGUUCUGGUGUCAGCCGCCGCGGUAAAACCAGCACCUCGAGUGGUCAGGAGGUUUAUUGGGCCUAAAGCAUCCGUAGCCGGUUGCAUAAGUUUUCGGUUAAAUCUAUGCGCUUAACGUAUAGGCCGCCGAAAAUACUGUGCAGCUAGGGAGUGGGAGA
rnacentral:rRNA from 1 species